AUGGGCAAGAACCAAGAAAACAAUAAUCACCUCCACCUAGCUCCUUGCUCAACCAUGAGCACCAAAAGGACAUGGAAGCAGCUCCUCAUGCUCCAUCUUCUCACUCAUAUCCUAUUCCUUUUCGUCGCAUCCAGCUCUCAAACUACCAACAAUGAAACUGCCAGCAGCGGCGAUCUUUCGGUCCUGCUGUCGAUCAAAUCCUUCAUCACCAGUGACCCUACGGGGGCACUGUCCUCUUGGUCAUGGGACCGUCCCGGUGCUGGUGCUGGCGCUGGCAAUGGUACCAGCAGCACGAACACGAAGGUGCCUGGUUUCUGCAAAUGGAUGGGCGUGUCCUGCAGCGACCACCAGCACCCCGACCGUGUCACUGCCAUACGCCUGCAUGGCUUCGGCCUGGUCGGCACCAUCUGCCCGCAGCUCGGUAACCUGACCCGUCUCCGUGUACUCAACCUUUCAACAAACAGCCUGGGAGGUGAGAUCCCAGGCAGCAUCGGCCGCUGUGCAUCACUUGGCGUCGUGGACCUGAUGGAGAACCACCUCUCUGGUUCCAUGCCUUCUUCUCUGGGUCUCCUUUCAAAGCUCACAUUUCUCAACCUUACCCAUAACAAUCUGACUGGUGAUAUUCCCAUGUCGUUCUCCAACCUCACGUCCCUCACAAGCCUUGACAUGAAGAUCAACUACUUCCAUGGCCAAAUCCCAAGAUGGCUGGGCAACCUGACUUCAUUGACACACUUAGGAUUAACCCAGAACGGCUUCACUGGCCAUAUCCCUCCAGAUCUUGGUAAGAUGUCUAAUCUUGAUACAUUUGAUGUCAUGGAUAACAAACUUGAAGGCCCUUUUCCUCCAUCCAUGUUCAAUAUUUCUUCCAUCACAAACAUAAACGUCGGCUUCAACCAGCUAACAGGAUCUCUGCCGCUUGAUAUUGGCUUUAAGCUUCCCAAGCUAAGUGUUUUGGCCACACAUGUGAACCAAUUCCAAGGACCAAUACCAGCCUCCUUGUCAAAUGCAUCCGCACUUAAAUGUUUGCUUCUUAGUGGAAACUUGUAUCAUGGUCCGAUUCCACGGGACAUUGGCAUCCAUGGUCGUUUGAUGGUAUUUUUGGUAGGGGACAAUUUGCUUCAAACCACAGAGCCUAAGGAUUGGGAUUUCCUCACAUCCUUAACCAACUGUAGUAACUUGGAGUUGCUAAGCCUUGACGAAAACAAUCUUGAAGGGGUUAUGCCAGUUACUAUUGCCAACCUAUCUGCAGAGCUCAAAUGGAUUGAACUAGGUAAGAACAACAUAACUGGGACCAUACCUGCAGGUUUAAGCAAGUUUCAAAACCUUGAAAUCCUCUCCCUGCAGCAGUGCCUCUUCACAGGCACCUUGCCUCUGGAUAUUGGCCAAAUUCCUAGCCUUCAGUAUCUUGACCUAUCCCAUAGCAGAUUUCAUGGGCAGAUUCCACAAUCAUUAGGCAAUAUCACGCAAUUGAGCAACCUCUUUCUAUCUAAUAACUUUCUGGAUGGCAGCAUCCCAGCAAGCCUUGGUAAUCUCACAGUGCUUACAUCUCUGGAUCUUUCUGGUAACUCCUUGAGGGGGGAAAUCCCAGCGGAGGUACUUAGCAUCCCCUCCCUGACCAAACUUCUCAACCUCUCCAACAAUGCUCUGAUUGGCUCCAUCCCAACUCGGAUAGGACGAUUGAGCACCCUCGGCAAAAUCGACCUAUCCAUGAACAAGCUAUCUGGUGAAAUCCCGGAAGCUCUCAGCAGUUGCGUCCAACUGAAUUGCCUAUACUUGCAAGGAAAUCUUUUGCAAGGGCAAAUCCCAAAAGGUUUGUCUUCUUUGAGGGGCCUUGAAAAGUUGGAUCUUUCUAGAAACAACUUAGGAGGGGCCAUACCUGAGUUCCUCGAGAACUUCAACCUUCUAACGUAUCUAAACCUCUCUUUCAACAACCUAUCUGGUCCCGUGCCAAAUGCAGGGAUUUUCCGCAACGCCACUGUAUUGUUGCUCCGUGGCAAUAGCAUGCUAUGCGGAGGUCCCUCGUCCUUGCAACUCCCUCCAUGCCCAGAUAUUGGUUCCAACCAUGCUUCGCAGAAGCAUCGUCUUUGGGUCAUACUCAUUUGCAUGGUUGGAACUUUGAUCUUCAUGUGCUCCCUAACUGCAUGCUACUUGAUGAAGACGAGAAUCAAACCAAAUAGUGUCGAUCAAGAAACCGGAUUUCACAAUGAGAAGCAUGAGAGGAUAUCCUAUGCGGAGAUAGAUGAAGCAACAGAGUCCUUCUCACCAGCAAAUUUGAUUGGUUCCGGCAGCUUUGGCGAUGUGUACAUUGGAACUCUGAAUCUUGAUGAGAGUUUAUACACCGUAGCAAUCAAAGUUCUCAAUCUUGCCAAACGAGGAGCUAACAGAAGCUUCUUGAGGGAGUGUGAAGCCCUGAGGAAGAUCCGACACCGGAAACUUGUCAAGGUGAUUACUGUGUGCAGCAGUUUGGACCGUAAUGGCGAUGAGUUCAAGGCACUUGUCCUAGAAUUUAUCUGCAAUGGGAACUUAGAUGAGUGGCUGCAUCCAAACACAGAGAACAGCAUGACCUUUAGAAGGCUAAGUCUGAUGGAAAGGUUGUGCAUUGCUCUUGAUGUUGCAGAGGCACUGGAAUAUCUUCACCACCAAAUCGAGCCACCCAUAGUUCACUGCGAUAUCAAACCAUCCAACAUCCUUCUAGAUGAUGACAUUGUUGCGCAUGUUGCUGACUUUGGUCUAGCAAAGAUAAUGCAUACUGAAGCAUGCAAGGAAAGUGGCGGUGCGACUGAAAGCAGCACACUUGUGAUUAAAGGCACAAUUGGAUACGUCGCACCAGAAUAUGGCUCAGGAUCUGAAGCCUCCACAGCUGGUGAUGUAUAUAGCUACGGGGUAUUGCUAUUGGAAAUGUUUACUGGAAGAAGGCCAACUGACUGUUUCAGAGAUGGCGCGACAAGUCUUGUCAACUAUGUCAAGAUGGCCUAUCCUGAUACUCUACUGGAAGUAUUAGAUGCUAGUGCAACCUACAGCGGGAACCCGCAACGUAUCAUAGACAUAUUCUUACAUCCUAUGUUUAAGAUUGGCCUAGCUUGCUGUGAGGAUUCCCCAAGGCACAGAAUGAAGAUGAACGAUGUAGUCAAGGAGCUGAAUGCCAUAAAGAAGGUGUGCGCCGCUCAUAUGCAUGUUCAUGCAUUUCGAGCAACCGCUUGA
rnacentral:rRNA from 1 species